AUACGGAGGGUGCAAGCGUUAAUCGGAAUAACUGGGCGUAAAGCGCACGCAGGCGGUCAGAUAAGUCAGAUGUGAAAUCCCCGGGCUCAACCUGGGAACUGCAUUUGAAACUGUCUGACUAGAGUCUUGUAGAGGGGGGUAGAAUUCCAGGUGUAGCGGUGAAAUGCGUAGAGAUCUGGAGGAAUACCGGUGGCGAAGGCGGCCCCCUGGACAAAGACUGACGCUCAGGUGCGAAAGCGUGGGGAGCAAACAGGAUUAGAUACCCUGGUAGUCCACGCUGUAAACGAUGUCGAUUUGGAGUCUGUGCCACUAUGAGCGUGGGUUCCGAAGCUAACGCGAUAAAUCGACCGCCUGGGGAGUACGGCCGCAAGGUUAAA
rnacentral:rRNA from 1 species